UAAAGACUCCAAAAUUCGACCUCUCAAAAUGUGGCUUCUCUGUUUUUCUCAUGACUGGAUUUGUAUCUGAUUUAAGGUAUAAAUUCCCACACACC